CCUACGGGUGGCUGCAGUAAGGAAUAUUGGACAAUGGGCGCAAGCCUGAUCCAGCCAUGCCGCGUGCAGGAUGACGGCCCUAUGGGUUGUAAACUGCUUUUAUACGGGAAAAAACCCCUCUACGUGUAGAGGGCUGAUGGUACCGUAAGAAUAAGGAUCGGCUAACUCCGUGCCAGCAGCCGCGGUAAUACGGAGGAUCCGAGCGUUAUCCGGAUUUAUUGGGUUUAAAGGGUGCGUAGGCGGAUUUGUAAGUCAGUGGUGAAAUCCUGCAGCUUAACUGUAGAACUGCCAUUGAUACUGCAAGUCUUGAGUACAUAUGAUGUGGGCGGAAUGUGUAGUGUAGCGGUGAAAUGCUUAGAUAUUACACAGAACACCAAUUGCGAAGGCAGCUCACAAAACUGUAACUGACGCUGAGGCACGAAAGCGUGGGGAGCGAACAGGAUUAGAUACCCCUGUAGUC
rnacentral:rRNA from 1 species